AUGGACGGCGGCGGCGGCAACAGCCCGGACCUGCAGCCGGCGGAGCCGGUGCGGUCGCGGUGGACGCCCAAGCCGGAGCAGAUACUGAUCCUGGAGUCCAUCUUCAACAGCGGCAUGGUGAACCCGCCCAAGGACGAGACCGUGCGCAUCCGCAAGCUCCUCGAGCGCUUCGGCGCCGUCGGCGACGCCAACGUCUUCUACUGGUUCCAGAACCGCCGCUCCCGCUCCCGCCGCCGCCAGCGCCAGCUCCAGGCGCAGGCGCAGGCGCAGGCCCAGGCCCAGGCGCAGGCGUCCGCCGCCUCCUCUGGGUCGCCGCCCGCGCCUGGCGGCCUCGGCUCGGCGGCCUCUUCCACGUCGCUCGGGCUGUUCGCGCACGGAGGCGCCGCGUACAGCUCGUCCUCCUCAUCGUCGUCGUGGCCGCCCUCGCCGCCGUCGGUGGGGAUGGUGGGGGACAUGGACCAGUGCGGGGGCGGCGACGACCUGUUCGCCAUCUCGCGGCAGAUGGGGUACGCGGACGGCGGCGGCGGCGGCUCCGGGUCGUCGUCGUUCUCUGCGGCCGCCGCGCAGCAGCAGCAGCAGCAGCUCUACUACUCGUGCCAACCUGCGGGCAUCACGGUGUUCAUCAACGGAGUGGCGACGGAGGUGCCACGGGGCCCCAUGGACCUGCGCUCCAUGUUCGGGCACGACGUGAUGCUCGUCCACUCCAGCGGCGGCCUCCUCCCCGUCGACGACUACGGCGUGCUCAUGCAGAGCUUGCAGAUGGGCGAGAGCUACUACCUGGUCGCGAGGUCAAAUUAA
rnacentral:rRNA from 1 species